rnacentral:lncRNA from 1 species
AGGGGCCCAAAGCCAGGGCCACAUAUAGGCCCUAGCUGCCCCAAAAUACACCAAAUCCAACCAUGGUUCAACCUAGAGACCGUAACAAUAGCCUCACUGCAUUCAUAGUAAUAGUAAGUCAGGAGCCCAAAGCCAGGGCCACAUUUAGGCCCUAGCUGCUCGUUUUUUAUAUACUUACCCUUUGGUAUACUACCACUACCUGUGAAGCAUUCCUUCAUGAUUGUUGAACCACAAUCAAGAUUCGGUGAGUAACCUGCAAGAUAAGAGAUUUCGAGCAAUAUACACAUACACCAGGCAUACCCGGGCAAUAUACACCAAUUCCAACUAUUACAUCUGCACAUUAAGAUUAAUAGGGGGGAGGGAGUAUAAUGUUCUAUAAACUUGAAAUUGGAUGCUUCUGAUAAUAUCAGAUGGUAUAGGAGCAAUUCCGUCAAAAAUCAAGCUAUUCCUCGCCUUCCAAAUGGCAUAGACUGUACAGGUCAAAGCAAUAAAUUUUCCCAUCUUUCGCUGACUCCUCUGACUUCCUCGUCUUUUUAACAGUUUCAAGGCACUUUCGAUAGUUGACAUCCUGUUCGAGAUUCCUAGCCAUAGCUUGAUGUGCUGCCAGAUUUGGUGACUGAAAUUACAGGAGAAAAAUAAGUGUUUCACCGUUUCGUUCUGAGCAUCAC